GGGGCUGUAGCUCAGCUGGAAGAGCGACGCGCUGGCAGCGCGUAGGUCAGGGGUUCGAGUCCCCUCAGCUCCA
rnacentral:tRNA from 1 species